CGGAGUCGCAGCCGAGGGGAGCCGGGGCCGGAGCCCGAGCCCGAGCCGAGCCGGAGCCCGAGCGAGCGGCGGAGACCGUGCCCCCGCCUCGGCCCCGCGCCGCCGCGGCCAGGCCCGGCAUGGAGGAGGAGUGCCGGGUGCUCUCCAUACAGAGCCACGUCAUCCGCGGCUACGUGGGCAACCGGGCGGCCACGUUCCCGCUGCAGGUUUUGGGAUUUGAGAUUGACGCGGUGAACUCUGUCCAGUUUUCAAACCACACAGGCUAUGCCCACUGGAAGGGCCAAGUGCUGAAUUCAGAUGAGCUCCAGGAGUUGUACGAAGGCCUGAGGCUGAACAACAUGAAUAAAUAUGACUACGUGCUCACAGUUGAUCGUGGUGAGUCUCCUGUUUUCUGAGGGUGACCUGGAUUCUCCCCCUAAAGGUUAUACGAGGGACAAGUCGUUCCUGGCCAUGGUGGUGGACAUUGUGCAGGAGCUGAAGCAGCAGAACCCCAGGCUGGUGUACGUGUGUGAUCCAGUCUUGGGUGACAAGUGGGACGGCGAAGGCUCGAUGUACGUCCCGGAGGAUCUGCUUCCCGUCUACAGAGAAAAAGUGGUGCCGCUCGCAGACAUUAUCACGCCCAACCAGUUUGAGGCCGAGUUACUGAGUGGCCGGAAGAUCCACAGCCAGGAGGAAGCCUUGCAGGUGAUGGACUUGCUGCACUCUAUGGGCCCCGACACCGUGGUCAUCACCAGCUCCGACCUGCCCUCCCCGCGGGGCAGCGACUACCUGAUUGUGCUGGGGAGUCAGAGGAGGA
rnacentral:sRNA from 1 species